rnacentral:rRNA from 1 species
CUGCGGAAGGAUCAUUGUCGUGACCCUGACCAAAACAGACCGCGCACGCGUCAUCCAAUCCGUCGGCGACGGCACCGUCCGUCGCUCGGCCAAUGCCUCGACCACCUCCCCUCCUCGGAGCGGGUGGGGGCUCGGGGUAAAAGAACCCACGGCGCCGAAGGCGUCAAGGAACACUGUGCCUAACCCGGGGGCAUGUCUAGCUUGCUAGCCGUCCCUCGUGUUGCAAAUCUAUUUAAUCCACACGACUCUCGGCAACGGAUAUCUCGGCUCUCGCAUCGAUGAAGAACGUAGCGAAAUGCGAUACCUGGUGUGAAUUGCAGAAUCCCGCGAACCAUCGAGUCUUUGAACGCAAGUUGCGCCCGAGGCCACUCGGCCGAGGGCACGCCUGCCUGGGCGUCACGCCAAAACACGCUCCCAACCACUCUCAACGGGAAUCGGGAUGCGGCAUCUGGUCCCUCGUCUCUCAAGGGACGGUGGACCGAAGAUUGGGCUGCCGGCGUACCGCGCCGGACACAGCGCAUGGUGGGCGUCCUCGCUUUAUCAAUGCAGUGCAUCUGGCGCGCAGCUGGCAUUAUGGCCUUUGAACGACCCAACAAACGAAGCGCACGUCGCUUCGACCGCGACCCCAGGUCAGGCGGGACUACCCGCUGAGUUUAAGCA